rnacentral:rRNA from 1 species
UACGAAGGGGACUAGCGUUGUUCGGAAUUACUGGGCGUAAAGCGCACGUAGGCGGUUUGUCGCGUCUGCUGUGAAAUCCCGAGGCUCAACCUCGGGUCUGCAGUGGGUACGGGCAGACUAGAGUGUGGUAGGGGAGAUUGGAAUUCCUGGUGUAGCGGUGGAAUGCGCAGAUAUCAGGAGGAACACCGAUGGCGAAGGCAGAUCUCUGGGCCAUUACUGACGCUGAGGAGCGAAAGCAUGGGGAGCGAACAGG